UGUUCUCUUAGGUCAUCAAUGGAAUAUGAACCCCUGGAAAGAAGCUGGUCCCAAUAUGAAACUAACACAGAGUCUCCAGCCCAGGCGUAUUUUUGCUGAACAGGUUUUGUGAUGUUGAAAUCCCCAGGGCAAAUGUUUGAAGUACCUGUUACAACACAGCCUGCUAGCUGCCCUACCUCUACUACCUCCUCCUCCUUCCUGCCCUGUCAACCAAACACAAAUGUGUAGGAAUGUCUCCCUCUUUCUCUCUCACACACACACACCCUGUUCUAGUGGACACAGUAGGGUGCCAACAUGAAAUACAUUGAAAGAAGUGAAUGUGUAAUGAAUCUAUUGAUUAAAUGUGACUAUGCCACGGUGUGUCAUAUGUAGCCUGUCCAUUACAUGUUCACUAUCUCUCACAUCAACAUAAUACUGAGCCUGAACCUCUUACAAACAUGAUCUAGUUAUUAUGGCAGAAGCAUAGCGCAGUAUGACAUGUCUGAACAGUGGUGUGUAGCCUACAUUUUGCGGCUGCGCCGAUGAGCGCUGAUUUUACUGUAGAAAUGUAGUCCUACCUGAUGCCCCACGGACGGCAACAAAAUGAAAGCUACGCGUCGCUAUUGACUGUAAAAUACGUAUGAUAACUCACAGAAUGUCAUUAGGGAGGUAGGUCGUAAUUUUGAAAAGUACAUUUAUUCAGAAAAGUAGGCCAAUAUAAUUGAACAGGGAAGACCUUGAAUAAAGAGCAUCGAACGCUCCCUCGGGAAUUCUCUUCGAAUGAAGAGAUUCUAAUCGCAGUUCAAGAUGCGCACCGAAUGGGGGAGGGCAAAAUGCUAUUAAAAUCACUAAUAAAAACACAUUCCAAAAUAUUUACAUAACUUAUAUUAUGAGUAGGCCUAUAUCGUAUGUCAAUAACCUGUGGUAUCAACUUUUUAUAGUUGUAGAAGCUUACCUUGUAGACAUUCUCCGUUAUGCGGUGAACCUCGUCGGUGCGAGACAUCUUGAAAUCUUCGGUCAAAACCAUAAACAGUAUUUUCCUUUAGAGAGAAGUUAUCCGAGUGAAAUACGCCGAAUGGGUAGAGAGAGUAGCCUAAACGAAGAGACGAUGUGAUGCAAUUUACCGCGAAGGUACGUGUGCCUGAAAGAAAGACAGUAACCGGAAGAUUCUCUUGGUCGGUUGCACCCACUCAAAUCCCUCUCACGCAAUCAAUCUCUGCGGUGUUCGCCAAAGCGUCUUGUCACAUCGCGGAGCUUUUCCAAUUACAAGAGCACCACCCGCCUUCUCUGAAACACCGCCUCUCCCCUUCUCUCUCUGCCCAAAUAUGUUAAACUAGUUGCAUUAUUCAUUUGGAUUUCUGACAUUGAUUUCAAAUCAAAUUGAUUUAUAACGCCAAAUGUAUUUAUAAAGUGCUUACACAGAAACCCAGCCUAAAACCCCAAACAGCAAGCGUUGCAGAAGCACGGUGGCAAGGAUUUAUUAUAGUUCUAUAAAGCUUAAUAUUUUAUAAAUAUAUACAGUGCCUAUAGAAAGUCCAAAAAUGGCAAAGACACAUUUUGGCCUGAAUGCAAAGCCUUAUGUUUGAGGAAAAUCCAACAACACAUCACUGAGUAACUGCCUCCUUAUUUUCAAGCACAGUAGUGGCUGCAUCAUGUUAUGGGUAUGCUUGACAUCGGCAAAUACUGGUCAAUUUUUCAGGAUGAAAAGAAAUGGGAUGGCGCUAAGCAUAGGUAAAAUCCUAGAGGAAAACCUGCUUCAGUCUGCUUCACACCAGACACUGGGAGAGGAAUUCACCUUUCAACAGGACAAUAACCCACAACACAAAGCCAAAUGUACAGCGGAGUAGUUUACCAAGAAGACAGUGACUGUUCCUGAUUGGCCAAGUUACAAUCUGCUUGAAAAUAUAUGGAACACAUUGAAAAAAAGAAUGGGCAAAUGUUGCACAAUUCAGUUGUGGAGAGCUUUAAUGAGACUUACCCAGAAAGCCUCACAGCUGUAAUCGCUGCCAAUGGUGCUUCUACAAAGUAUUGACUCAGCAGUGUGAAUACUUACGUAAAUGAGAUAUUUCCGUAUUUCAUUUUCAAUAAAUUUACUAAACGUUCUACAAAUAUGUUUUCACUUUAUGUUGUACUGUGUGUAGAUGGCGUUUAAUUAUUUAUUUUAUCUAAUCAAGAUGUUUUAUUUUUCAUUCAUCUUUGGGUGUUUUGUGUAGCUUGCUGACAUAAAACAAAAAAGUAUAAUUUUUAAUCCCACUUUGUAACACAUUAAAAUGUGAAUAAAUGCAAGGGGGCUGUAGACUUUCUACAGGGACUGUCUGACUGCAUCUACACUUCAGGUGACUGCAUCUACACUUCAGGCGACUGCAUCUAUGACUGCAUCUACACUUCAGGCGACUGCAUCUACACUUCAGGCGACUGCAUCUACACUUCAGGCGACUGCAUCUACACUUCAGGCGACUGCAUCUAUGACUGCAUCUACACUUCAGGCGACUGCAUCUACACUUCAGGCGACUGCAUCUACACUUCAGGCGACUGCAUCUACACUUCAGGCGACUGCAUCUACACUUCAGGUGAUAUAGUGAAACUAAACAUCACAAAAAUAUUUAAAACAAAGAAUGACGAUUACUUUUUUAAAAUCACUAUCAUCAUGGAAAUAUUUGUUACUAAAACAAAAUCAAUAGCCUCACAUACCAAACCUACAAGUCAAGUCAUGUAACACCAAUUCAGACUGUACGAAACUGAACAAAGACCUGGUGAAGGACACAAGUCCUUUUCUCACAGGGGAAGUAUAAUUGAAACGGUCAGUUGCUGCUGGAGAAUAACACCAGGGAAUGUUUUCAUUAAGUGUCCUGGAUGUCUCAUAAUGUGACAAAUGGAGUAUAGCGCUGUGUGGAACACACCCACCAUUAUGGAUACAAUGGUUUUUACAUAGAGAGAUGAUCCAUUAUACAAGGAGCCAGCGUAGUUUAUGAAGGAAGAUGUCCACAACAUUAGAAGACUACCUUUCACAGGAAUGUGAACCAGACUUCCUGUUCCUGAUCAGCUCUUCACCAGCAGUAGGAGGUCUGUAGUUCUGGCUUCAGGAAACUAGACUUCCUGUUCCUGAUCAGCUAGUCACCAGCAGUAGGAGGUCUGUAGUUCUGGCUUCAGGAAACUAGACUUCCUGUUCCUGAUCAGCUAGUCACCAGCAGUAGGAGGUCUGUAGUUCUGGCUUCAGGAAACUAGACUUCCUGUUCCCGAUCAGCUCAUCACCAGCAGUAGGAGGUCUGUAGUUCUGGCUUCAGGAAACCAGACUUCCUGUUCCUGAUCAGCUAGUCACCAGCAGUAGUAGGUCUGUAGUUCUGGCUUCAGGAAACUAGACUUCCUGUUCCCGAUCAGCUAGUCACUAGCAGUAGGAGGUCUGUAGUUCUGGCUUCAGGAAACCAGACUUCCUGUUCCCGAUCAGCUAGUCACCAGCAGUAGGAGGUCUGUAGUUCUGGCUUCAGGAAACUAGACUUCCUGUUCCUGAUCAGCUCGUCACCAGCAGUAGGAGGUCUGUAGUUCUGGCUUCAGGAAACCAGACUUCCUGUUCCUGAUCAGCUCGUCACCAGCAGUAGGAGGUCUGUAGUUCUGGCUUCAGGAAACCAGACUUCCUGUUCCUGAUCAGCUCGUCACCAGCAGUAGGAGGUCUGUAGUUCUGGCUUCAGGAAACCAGACUUCCUGUUCCUGAUCAGCUAGUCACCAGCAGUAGGAGGUCUGUAGUUCUGGCUUCAGGAAACCAGACUUCCUGUUCCUGAUCAGCUAGUCACCAGCAGUAGGAGGUCUGUAGUUCUGGCUUCAGGGCAGCAGCAGUGUGGGCCGAAGCCUUGUGGGUGGAAUCCAGUCCACAUCUGACUUGGGCUCCAGCCAGCCAGGCAGAGAGCUGUGGUAUACUGCUCAGAGAGGGAGACAGACAGGCAGAGAGCUGUGGUAUACUGCUCAGAGAGGGAGACAGGUAGACAGAGCUGUGGUAUACUGCUCAGAGAGGGAGACAGGCAGGCAGAGAGCUGUGGUAUACUGCUCAGAGAGGGAGACAGGUAGACAGAGCUGUGGUAUACUGCUCAGAGAGGGAGACAGGUAGGCAGAGAGCUGUGGUAUACUGCUCAGAGAGGGAGACAGGCAGGCAGAGAGCUGUGGUAUACUGCUCAGAGAGGGAGACAGGCAGGCAGAGAGCUGUGGUAUACUGCUCAGAGAGGGAGACAGACAGGCAGAGAGCUGUGGUAUACUGCCCAGAGAGGGAGACAGACAGGCAGAGAGCUGUGGUAUACUGCCCAGAGAGGGAGACAGACAGGCAGAGAGCUGUGGUAUACUGCUCAGAGAGGGAGACAGACAGGCAGAGAGCUGUGGUAUACUGCUCAGAGAGGGAGACAGACAGGCAGAGAGCUGUGGUAUACUGCCCAGAGAGGGAGACAGACAGGCAGAGAGCUGUGGUAUACUGCUCAGAGAGGGAGACAGGUAGACAGAGCUGUGGUAUACUGCUCAGAGGGAGACAGGUCAGUCAGGGAGUGGGUGAGAUGCCAGUGCCAAUACUCCUGUCCUCACCUUGACUAGGCCAGUAAGUGGACUGUUGUGGGAACAGUUCUACUAACCCACACAAUGACGUCAUAGCUUCGUGUUCCAAUGUUUGACUGUCAAGACAGGUCCAACAUAUUGUAUCCUCUUUAAAUACAGCAACAAUACCUUAUCCUCUGGUCAUAUAAACAUGCUUUACAAUAACGAUAUGCAACCAUCUGCAUAAACAUAUUUGGAUAGAAAACGUUGUACCCUAUACCAGGGGUGUACAACUCUUACCCUAUGAGGUCCAGAGACAGCUGGUUUUGGAUAGAAAACGUUGUACCCUAUACCAGGGGUGUACAACUCUUACCCUAUGAGGUCCAGAGACAGCUGGUUUUGGAUAGAAAACGUUGUACCCUAUACCAGGGGUGUACAACUCUUACCCUAUGAGGUCCAGAGACAGCUGGUUUUGGAUAGAAAACGUUGUACCCUAUACCAGGGGUGUACAACUCUUACCCUAUGAGGUCCAGAGACACCUGGUUUUGGAUAGAAAACGUUGUACCCUAUACCAGGGGUGUACAAC